GUGGGACCUUGUGAUCAUGGUCUUAACUCUGUCACCCAGGCUGGAGUGCAGUGGUGUGACCACAGCCACUGCAGGCUCAACCUCUGGGACUCAGGUGAUCCUCCCAUCUCAGCCUCCCAAGUAGCUGGGACUACAGGUUGCUUCUUCCAGAUCCCUUUUGAUCUACUUUCAGCUAUGGAUUCAUGAGAAUCAAGACUAAGCAGCCUGAAUUGAAGGAGUAACAGUAUCACCUAACAAUGAUUUUGCUGCCAUAGUAGCUGUUUGUAUACUGGCCAUAUGCCUAGGUAAAAUGAGGCCAGAUCACUCUCAAGAGUUUUCUAUCAGAGUUGGUGGUGAACUACUGCUCACGGAUAAUGACGAGAAACCCCAGCUGAGGAGGCAAAUAUACUCAAGGAAAGUAAUAGUUUCCAAAUGCCUGGCAGUGCCAGGAAGGGGCCAUGUCCAUGGACCACUAUGUAAGGAUAUCUCAGUCUCUAGUCCAGCGUGGUUUAUGGUGCCAAAUAAGUGCCAGGUGAACUCACUACAUCUGACAAAAUCUCAAGGAACCAAGUUUACCAGAUAAUAUUUAUGAUUAUGUGAAAAAGACUGAGGAAAUCACUCAAGUGAUCCAUCAUACAGCACCUCCAGUUCCAAAGAAUACUGACUUACUUCAGCUGUACUGGUCUGGAGCUGCACAUUCUUUUCAGACAACUCUUGUUCCAGUAAGUUCAGGUGACUCUUCUCCUGUAACAGAGCCUCCUUCUUAGAAACUAUGGCCUCCCGUUUCUUUAAGUCUGCUUCCAGCUCCUCUAAUUCUUGGCGUUGGUUCAGAACUUUCUCUACUUCUUCAUCUAACCAUUUCUUUUGCUCAUCCAAUUUCUACAUUAAAAUUAAAAAAAAAGUUACUUGUUUUUCCUUCUGCCAUAAAAAUUAUAUGGUAAUAAUAGAAUUUCAGAUUGGCUGAAAUCUCUUAAAUGAACAUUUAAAAACUAUCACUCAGAGUAACUCAGGUAGCCGUCUGAGAUCCUAAAGACAUCAGUGGUUCUAGUCAAGAUGUAGCUAUGUUGUUUUAUAAAGAAUUAAAAUUUACUCCCCAGAUAUGUUAAACAGUCUAGGAUUUUUUAGCCUGACGAAGAAAGGGCUGAUAAUUUUCUAUGCCUAUAUUAAGAACAUGCUGGAAUCUUUUACUCUGUUGUAGUGGUGCACAGUUCCAUCACAGCACUUACACUGGUGGCUGCCCUACGUAUCUAUCUCCCCAGCUUGAGCUCCUUGAUUGAUUGCAGGGGCUGUAGUUUUUACCCGUCUAUCCACAUGGCUGGUAUAUUGCCUGGGCCACAGUAGGCAUUCAAUAAAAUGUUAAAUGAAUGAGUGAAUGAAUGCCUGAUUCAGUCAGUCAAUGAAGUGAAUAAAUGAAUACACACAGUGGAAGACACAGAUGAUGGAGGAUGGAAGGAAAGCCAAUUUGCAUUGUAGCUUGUCAACCUCAAAUAAUUAUUUUUAAAAAAGAAAAAAAACAAAAAUAAAAAAUUGCUGAAAAGAUCUCCAAAACAA
rnacentral:lncRNA from 1 species